AUCCUGUUGUUGUUCGUAUAGGUGUGAUGAUUGGGUGUUCACAUUGUCAUGUGACAUGUGCUUCCCUCAAACCUAGUUAUGACAUCAGCACAUUACCCAUCUGAGG